AUUUCUUCGGAGAGUUUGAUCCUGGCUCAGGAUGAACGCUGGCGGCGUGCCUAAUACAUGCAAGUCGAGCGAACUGAUUAGAAGCUUGCU
rnacentral:rRNA from 1 species